UUUGCGNGUGUGGGCAAGUCGGAUCCUGNUCAGGCAGCGACGGCAUGCCGCACGUGCCUCCUCAGUCGGUGUCGGCUCAAGAGCGCAUUUGCCUUGGCCGGUGUUGGUUUUCUGUGCUGCAUACCAGUCGGAUGGCACUCGUUGGCCCAAACGUCCCUCUUCCGUCGUGCAUCGCGCCCCUACGGGGUCGCGGUGCGGGGCGGACCACGAAGACCCGCCGAGUUCCUCGCACCGCGCAGCCAAACGGCGCGCGGACGUUGGCCCCCGGCGGCGUGCUCGAUCUCUCGGAUGCGGAAAAUCGCGUGGCACGCGGCCCUCGGCCGCUAUCUGCCCCAAAACAAGCGUUUCACGCUUYGUGCGAACGACGGCCGGCCUCGUCUCGAUCGAGCCCUUGCGGCCCGCGUCGUGCGCUGCCGGGUCNGUGAGGAA
rnacentral:misc_RNA from 1 species